rnacentral:rRNA from 1 species
UACGGAAGGCAGCAGUGGGGAAUAUUGCACAAUGGGCGCAAGCCUGAUGCAGCCAUGCCGCGUGUAUGAAGAAGGCCUUCGGGUUGUAAAGUACUUUCAGUCGUGAGGAAGGUGUUAAGGUUAAUAACCUUAGCAAUUGACGUUAGCGACAGAAGAAGCACCGGCUAACUCCGUGCCAGCAGCCGCGGUAAUACGGAGGGUGCGAGCGUUAAUCGGAAUUACUGGGCGUAAAGGGCACGCAGGCGGUUAAUUAAGUUGGAUGUGAAAUCCCCGGGCUUAACCUGGGAAUGGCAUUCAAGACUGGUUAGCUAGAGUCUUGUAGAGGGGGUAGAAUUCCAUGUGUAGCGGUGAAAUGCGUAGAGAUGUGGAGGAAUACCGGGUGGGCGAAGGCGGGCCCCUGGGACAAAGACUGACGCUCAUGUGCGAAAGCGUGGGGAGCAAACAGGAUUAGAUACC